rnacentral:rRNA from 4 species
UUAAGCGACUAAGCGUACACGGUGGAUGCCCUGGCAGUCAGAGGCGAUGAAGGACGUGCUAAUCUGCGAAAAGCGUCGGUAAGGUGAUAUGAACCGUUAUAACCGGCGAUGUCCGAAUGGGGAAACCCAGUGCAAUUCGUUGCACUAUCGUUAACUGAAUACAUAGGUUAACGAGGCGAACCGGGGGAACUGAAACAUCUAAGUACCCCGAGGAAAAGAAAUCAACCGAGAUUCCCCCAGUAGCGGCGAGCGAACGGGGAGCAGCCCAGAGUCUGAAUCAGCUUGUGUGUUAGUGGAACGGUCUGGAAAGUCCGACGGUACAGGGUGAUAGUCCCGUACACCAAAAUGCACAGGCUGUGAACUCGAAGAGUAGGGCGGGACACGUGGUAUCCUGUCUGAAUAUGGGGGGACCAUCCUCCAAGGCUAAAUACUCCUGACUGACCGAUAGUGAACCAGUACCGUGAGGGAAAGGCGAAAAGAACCCCGGCGAGGGGAGUGAAAAAGAACCUGAAACCGUGUACGUACAAGCAGUGGGAGCACCUUCGGGUGUGACUGCGUACCUUUUGUAUAAUGGGUCAGCGACUUAUAUUCUGUAGCAAGGUUAACCGUAUAGGGGAGCCGCAGGGAAACCGAGUCUUAACUGGGCGUUAAGUUGCAGGGUAUAGACCCGAAACCCGGUGAUCUAGCCAUGGGCAGGUUGAAGGUUGGGUAACACUAACUGGAGGACCGAACCGACUAAUGUUGAAAAAUUAGCGGAUGACUUGUGGCUGGGGGUGAAAGGCCAAUCAAACCGGGAGAUAGCUGGUUCUCCCCGAAAGCUAUUUAGGUAGCGCCUCGUGAACUCAUCUUCGGGGGUAGAGCACUGUUUCGGCUAGGGGGUCAUCCCGACUUACCAACCCGAUGCAAACUACGAAUACCGAAGAAUGUUAUCACGGGAGACACACGGCGGGUGCUAACGUCCGUCGUGAAGAGGGAAACAACCCAGACCGCCAGCUAAGGUCCCAAAGUCAUGGUUAAGUGGGAAACGAUGUGGGAAGGCACAGACAGCCAGGAUGUUGGCUUAGAAGCAGCCAUCAUUUAAAGAAAGCGUAAUAGCUCACUGGUCGAGUCGGCCUGCGCGGAAGAUGUAACGGGGCUAAACCAUGCACCGAAGCUGCGGCAGCGACACUAUGUGUUGUUGGGUAGGGGAGCGUUCUGUAAGCCUGCGAAGGUGUGCUGUGAGGCAUGCUGGAGGUAUCAGAAGUGCGAAUGCUGACAUAAGUAACGAUAAAGCGGGUGAAAAGCCCGCUCGCCGGAAGACCAAGGGUUCCUGUCCAACGUUAAUCGGGGCAGGGUGAGUCGACCCCUAAGGCGAGGCCGAAAGGCGUAGUCGAUGGGAAACAGGUUAAUAUUCCUGUACUUGGUGUUACUGCGAAGGGGGGACGGAGAAGGCUAUGUUAGCCGGGCGACGGUUGUCCCGGUUUAAGCAUGUAGGCUGGUUGUCCAGGCAAAUCCGGAUAAUCAAGGCUGAGGUGUGAUGACGAGGCACUACGGUGCUGAAGUAACAAAUGCCCUGCUUCCAGGAAAAGCCUCUAAGCAUCAGGUAACAUCAAAUCGUACCCCAAACCGACACAGGUGGUCAGGUAGAGAAUACCAAGGCGCUUGAGAGAACUCGGGUGAAGGAACUAGGCAAAAUGGUGCCGUAACUUCGGGAGAAGGCACGCUGGUGUGUAGGUGAAGUCCCUGCGGAUGGAGCUGAGACCAGUCGAAGAUACCAGCUGGCUGCAACUGUUUAUUAAAAACACAGCACUGUGCAAACACGAAAGUGGACGUAUACGGUGUGACGCCUGCCCGGUGCCGGAAGGUUAAUUGAUGGGGUUAUCCGUAAGGAGAAGCUCUUGAUCGAAGCCCCGGUAAACGGCGGCCGUAACUAUAACGGUCCUAAGGUAGCGAAAUUCCUUGUCGGGUAAGUUCCGACCUGCACGAAUGGCGUAAUGAUGGCCAGGCUGUCUCCACCCGAGACUCAGUGAAAUUGAACUCGCUGUGAAGAUGCAGUGUACCCGCGGCAAGACGGAAAGACCCCGUGAACCUUUACUAUAGCUUGACACUGAACAUUGAGCCUUGAUGUGUAGGAUAGGUGGGAGGCUUUGAAGCGUGGACGCCAGUCUGCGUGGAGCCAACCUUGAAAUACCACCCUUUAAUGUUUGAUGUUCUAACGUUGGCCCCUUACCGGGGUUGCGGACAGUGUCUGGUGGGUAGUUUGACUGGGGCGGUCUCCUCCCAAAGCGUAACGGAGGAGCACGAAGGUUAGCUAAUCCUGGUCGGACAUCAGGAGGUUAGUGCAAUGGCAUAAGCUAGCUUGACUGCGAGCGUGACGGCGCGAGCAGGUGCGAAAGCAGGUCAUAGUGAUCCGGUGGUUCUGAAUGGAAGGGCCAUCGCUCAACGGAUAAAAGGUACUCCGGGGAUAACAGGCUGAUACCGCCCAAGAGUUCAUAUCGACGGCGGUGUUUGGCACCUCGAUGUCGGCUCAUCACAUCCUGGGGCUGAAGUAGGUCCCAAGGGUAUGGCUGUUCGCCAUUUAAAGUGGUACGCGAGCUGGGUUUAGAACGUCGUGAGACAGUUCGGUCCCUAUCUGCCGUGGGCGCUGGAGAAUUGAGGGGGGCUGCUCCUAGUACGAGAGGACCGGAGUGGACGCAUCACUGGUGUUCGGGUUGUCAUGCCAAUGGCACUGCCCGGUAGCUAAAUGCGGAAGAGAUAAGUGCUGAAAGCAUCUAAGCACGAAACUUGCCCCGAGAUGAGUUCUCCCUGAGACUUUAAGUCUCCUGAAGGAACGUUAAAGACGAUGACGUUGAUAGGCCGGGUGUGUAAGCGCAGCGAUGCGUUGAGCUAACCGGUACUAAUGAACCGUGAGGCUUAACCUU